AAGCUCCUCUUUGUGGGGAACAUGACAGCCAGACCACAGCUCAGAGGAUCCAUCAGAGACCUGGACCUGAUGCUGGACCUGAACCCCGCUGUGUGAACAUGGAGCGUAUACGGUCUAAGAGUCCUCCUCCAGACUUCAAAGAUGGUCCCUCUGUUGAUGCAAGGUCACAACAGCAGAGAGGAAAGUCUCCUGAACCCACAUGUGUGUCCAUGAAGAGUGAUCAGUCCAAAGAUCGAUGGUUUAACUUCAGAGAUGGACGUUGUUCUCAUGACCCAGAAGAGGACCAGGAGAGCUCAGAGGUUCCCACAGGUCCGUCUGCCCAGC